GGUGCCUAGCCUGCUGCCCCGCAUCGGCGCCUCUACGUGCAUCUCCGGCCGUCCAACCUCGCGCCUCGACGGCCUCCUACAAGCACGGCUAUGUCGACCGCGGAGUUCAGCUGGGCGCUGCAGCUCUCCCUCCUCACCCAUGCCACUUCGUCCACAUCGUCAGUGCUUUCGACAGACCACCUGCAGUUCGCCCCCUCCCCUUGGCGGCCCAGCGGCCACCACGAGCCGGUGACACCCUGCAUGCUGCAGUUCUUUUUGGGUUGAUGUUGAAUUAAUCGGUGCUGAAGGCCCGUGCAGUCUGUUGUGGCGCAAGCAUGCAGUACGGGCGGCGGCGAGGUAGCUCGUGUAGUUCCUGUACGCGGCGCGUGCGGUUUGUUUGCAGCCCAUGUGCACGAUGCAUGCAGGUCGUGUGUGUGUGUGUGUGUCGACGUUCAGUUCGCCGGGAAACUACAGAAGAAAAAGGAUCAUUUUUUUAAGUUCACUUUCUUCUUGAAUGUGUUAGAGAGAAAAUGUAAAAAAUUAUAAAAAAGAUGUAGUCCGUUGGUGUA